rnacentral:misc_RNA from 1 species
AACGCACCUUGCGCUCCUUGGUAUUCCGAGGAGCAUGCCUGUUUGAGUGUCAUGGAAUCAUCAAACCUUCAGGCUCUCUCCUGUAGAGACGUUUGAAGGUUUGGACUUUGGAGGUUUUAUUGCUGGCCCUUCUGCGUGUCAGCUCCUCUUGAAUGCAUUAGCCCGGACCCUUGCUGUAUCGGCUUCAGCGUGAUAAUUGUCUGCGCUGUGGCUGUGAGGCUGCCAUGAGGGUUUGGCUUCUAGCGGUCUCCUUGAAGAGACAUUUCAUUUUGACCUCUGGCCUCAAAUCAGGUAGGACUACCCGCUGAACUUAU